AAAGCUGUUGACCGAAACACACACGAAAGAAAACGCUCUCCACUGUCAUACCUUUGAAUCCUGGCUGAGGAAGAGCAAGACCUGGAGUCAUCUCAACUAAUGAUACUCUGUGACUGACUCAUCAAAAAGAGGUUAUUUACUUUGCUGCUGCCUGCACACAUCUUCCUACUUUUUG
rnacentral:lncRNA from 1 species